GACGAACGCUGGCGGCGUGCUUAACACAUGCAAGUCGAACGGAAAGGCCCUGCUUUUGUGGGGUGCUCGAGUGGCGAACGGGUGAGUAACACGUGAGUAACCUGCCCUUGACUUUGGGAUAACUUCAGGAAACUGGGGCUAAUACCGGAUAGGAGCUCCUGCUGCAUGGUGGGGGUUGGAAAGUUUCGGCGGUUGGGGAUGGACUCGCGGCUUAUCAGCUUGUUGGUGGGGUAGUGGCUUACCCAGGCUUUGACGGGUAGCCGGCCUGAGGGGGUGACCGGACGACCGAGGGACGGAGGGGAGGCAGCAGUGCGGAGGGGGGGAAAAUGGGGGCAAGCUUGAACCAGGGGGGCGGGUGGGUGAAGAAGGCCCGCGGGGGGGAAAGCCGGUUUGGUGGGAAAAAACCGCUGCCGCUUGAGACCAAGCGGGGGUGACGGUACGGGAAAAAGAAGCACCGGCUAACUACGUG
rnacentral:rRNA from 1 species